rnacentral:rRNA from 1 species
AACGAACGCUGGCGGCAGGCUUAACACAUGCAAGUCGAGCGCCCCGCAAGGGGAGCGGCAGACGGGUGAGUAACGCGUGGGAAUCUACCCAUCUCUACGGAAUAACGCAUGGAAACGUGUGCUAAUACCGUAUACGUCCUUCGGGAGAAAGAUUUAUCGGAGAUGGAUGAGCCCGCGUUGGAUUAGCUAGUUGGUGGGGUAAAGGCCUACCAAGGCGACGAUCCAUAGCUGGUCUGAGAGGAUGGUCAGCCACACUGGGACUGAGACACGGCCCAGACUCCGACGGGAGGCAGCAGUGGGGAAUAUUGGACGAUGGGCGCAAGCCUGAUCCAGCCAUGCCGCGUGAGUGAUGAAGGCCCUAGGGUUGUAAAGCUCUUUCACCGGUGAAGAUAAUGACGGUAACCGGAGAAGAAGCCCCGGCUAACUUCGUGCCAGCCGCCGCGGUAAAAC